CCGGCCAAAGCAAGAACAAAGGAAGAAAAGAAAGAACAAGAACCCUAGGGUGAAAAUUCAAGAGAAAAUUGGUGGAUUUCAAGUAAUCAAGCAAUUAAAGGUAAAAUUUCUUGAUUUUGACUUGUGAUCUACCUUUCCCAUACAUUCUUUUGCAUUUUCCAUGGUUGAAUCACAAGAUAUCAUGAAGAUGUGCUGAUCAAACCCUAGGAGAGAGAAUUUGAUGAUGAUUUAGAUAGAUUUUUAAGAUAUAUGGAUGUUUUUAGUGAUUUAUGGUGUUAAGUGUAAGAAUUAAGCUUGAAAUUCACAUAUUCCUCAUGAAUUCAUCAUUGGCCGAAUCUUCCUUGUAGAGUGUUGAUGGUGGAUUUGAUUUUAUUUCAAGUGAAUUGGUUAGGAAAUGAUGAAUUAUGGUGAGAAAAUCAAGUAGGAAAAAUCAUAGUGUUGAUGCACUCACCAUGGCCGAAAUUCUCAAGAAGAAAUGUAAGGAUGAUUUUGCCAUAUUUAAAGUUAUUUAAUUUGUGUUUGAUGAUUUGGAGUAUUAGGAGAAAAAUGGAAUUAUUUGGAGUUGAAUUGGAUGUAUUGGCCAAUUAAUCGGGUGAUAGAUCGAAUUAGGCCAAUACCAUUUUAUUUAGGUACAUAACUGAAUUUAUAUUGAACACCGUAUUUAGAUAGUUACCCGAGUAUUUCACAUCUCAUUUCAUGCAUUAGUAUAGAGCCUGAAUUGGUUUUAUAACAAUUUAGCACAAAUGUAGUAAAUGGCUUAUUGUGCAUUAUGUCUAGAUGGUGAGCAUUCUGUCAAAAGUAAAGAGAUAGUACCCGAGGAUCACAAUUCGGAGUACUCGAAAUUCGACUCCCGAAAUAGUGAGUAACCUUACUAUCAUCUUAAUUAUCUAAAGUAGUUUUUAUCCAUUUUUGUGAAUUUUAUGGAAAAUGAGUUUAAAUGGUAAAUCUUUAUGUUUUAUAAACAAAAAGUGAUUAAAUGAAAUGAUUUUAUAAAAUUGUCUUGAAAUUGAAUGAUGGUUUUGAAAAUGGAGUAAUUGGAGACUAAUUGUUGUGUUGUAAAUUAUGGUUUGAAUUGAAUGACUUAUGAUAAUGUGGGCAUGAGUGGCUGGAUUUGAUAAAUGUACUGAAAAUGUGUGAAUUGUUGAUUUGCCUUGAGAGGCUGUAAAAUAAAAUAAUUACCAUGCCAUGCUAUUGCAAAUUUUAUUGAAUUGGUGGGUUAUAUAUUGGUCGCUGCAGUAGAUGGGUUUCGUGAACCAGCCUAUUAGAGGGGCACGGUAACCCUAUUAUAUUCUUACCUCAGUAUGAGAGGCGUAGAUGGAUAACUCAUAAGGUUAACACUUUAGAGUUCACUUCACGCCAAACCACCACGUGAGGGUGAACUUAGCCAACGUCAAGGAACGACUAUGUUUUCAAAAUAAAAACAUGAUUUAUGCAUACAUGACUUUUUAAUAGCCUUGGCAGACUCGGUUGGGAUAACCCUCGGCCAAGGUAUCCCUGAUAACUGAGUAUGAUAAUGAUUUUGGCACGAGCCAAACUUUAAGGAAAUCAUAAGCUACGUUGUUUAUUUUGGUGAAAUGAAUCUAUUUUAUCUUAUUAAAAUGAGUUCGAAAUGCUGAGAAUCAUUUUAUGCUAAUCUAUUUUAUCCGUCUCCAUUACUCAACUUUAGAUAUUUUAGAUGGUAUUUGUUUGCUCACUAAGAUUAUAUAAUCUCACCACCCUCAUUUCCACCCAUUUUAGGCUCAGGAUAGUCGGUAUAUAGCUCACUUUGUUGAAUGCUAUAGUUGGACUUGAAUCCUAAAAAACUGUAGGUUUACCACUUUUGAUACUUUUGGUCAUUCGUGGGCCCACGUGUCAUUGGAAAUUAAAUUUUAUACUUUGGUUAUCUGUAUUACAGUAUGUAUGAAUUUAUUUAGCUUUUACGCUACAAAAAUUAUUUACC
rnacentral:lncRNA from 1 species